rnacentral:tRNA from 1 species
UAAAUGAAAGCCAAAUAGAGGCAUCUAGCUGUUAAUUAGAAAAUUGUAACUUUUUACUCAUUUAG